GCUGGGGGCACCUGAUCAGCCAUCCCGCGUGUGCGAUGAAGGCCUUCGGGUUGUAAAGCACUUUUGGCAGGAAAGAAACGUCGCGGGCUAAUACCCCGUGGAACUGACGGUACCUGCAGAAUAAGCACCGGCUAACUACGUGCCAGCAGCCGCGGUAAUAACGUAGGGUGCAAGCGUUAAUCGGAAUUACUGGGCGUAAAGCGUGCGCAGGCGGUUCGGAAAGAAAGAUGUGAAAUCCCAGAGCUUAACUUUGGAACUGCAUUUUUAACUACCGAGCUAG
rnacentral:rRNA from 1 species